rnacentral:lncRNA from 1 species
GUUAUUCCAACUCUGGAAUAUUUUGAUAAUUUUCAUGUGGCCAAAGAUCUCCUGACCACAAAGUUUCAGGUUUGAUGGUUUUGUGUGCAGUGUCAGGAAAAGGUUAAAUCCUCCCUUGUCUCAAACAUCCAGAGCUGUGAUGGUCACACGUGAGUAACAAUCAACCAAUAGUAUGCAGUGAGUCAGUAGAUGACAGUGAUUUAUCCUGUCCCUAAUUCUUUUCUUUCAAAAAGAGACACUGGAUUGAAUCAGUUACUAAGAAGAAAACUGAAAAGUCAGUCAGGUUUAAGUGGGUGGAGUUCCAAAACCCUACACUCUGAUUGGAAAGCAGGAACUAGAAAAGGAGGGCAAUACUGGGAAAGUCAGUAAAAAUUCCUGAGGAGCCACCCAGUAUCCUAGAGCCCAGAGUUGCUGCCUGGUUUCCUGGGAUCCCUGAGCACCUGGCCAACUCUAUAGACCUCUGGUGAGUCAGCUCCUCUGGAGGACGUAUCCUGUGUGCCCUCAGCCAGUCUUUCGUGGUGACCUGCAGCCCGGGAUGCCGUGAACCUUCCUCUUCUCUACGUUCAGAUGAACACAUAAUCUUUUCUUUGCAGAUUCGUGAAGAUGAGCACCUGGUUUCCACCCACACUUUUGGACCUGGCAGUCCAGAGUCUGCUGAGGGACAAGAACUUGGUGAUCCGGGCUCUGGAGGAACUUCCCAGGGAGCUCUUCCCACCGCUUUUCAUGGAGGCUUUCACCAGGGGACACACUGAGGUCCUGAAGGCCUUGGUGCCAGCUUGGCCUUUCCCCUGCCUCCCUCUGGGGGUCCUGAUGAAAAUGAGAAACACAGAGAUCGCCCAAACUCAGCUGAACAUUUUCCGGCUGCCAGCAUGGGACCUGCAGUUCUUUCAAGCUGUGCUGGAUGGGCUUGAUGUGCUGCUGGCUCAGAAGGUUCGCCCCAGGAGGUGGAAACUGCAAGUGUUGGAUAUGCGGAACAUGCACCUAAACUUCUGGAGGGUCUGGGCUGGAAACUUGGCUGAUCCUGGUUUCCCAGAGGUCACAAUGGGUAGGGAAAUGAAGAAGGAUGGGCCAAAGUUGGCAGAAAAGCAGCCCCUAAGGGUGCUCAUAGACCUGAACCUCCAUCUGGAUUGUCUGGAUUCACCUUUACAUUUUCUUUUUAAGUGGGCCCAGGAGAGGAGGGGUUUGCUUCAAGUGGAGUGUAGAAAGCUGUGUAUAGAUGCAGUUUCUCCUGAAACAAUUUUGAACAUGCUGGAAAUUGCUGACUUCGGAUUCAUGGAGGAUGUGGAAGUCCAUGGUUUCUGGGCUCUCUUUGUUCUGUGUAAUUUUGACUCUUACCUGGGCCAGAUGAAAAAUCUUCAGAAGCUACUUCUCUCUCACAUCCAUGUGCCUGAUUGCCUUCCUCCAGAUGAGACGGAGAAGUUGGUGACCCAAUUAACCUCUCAUUUCCUAAACCAGCACCACCUACAGGAGCUUCAUAUGAACAAUGUCUCCUUUUUGGAAGGCCACCUCACUGAGGUGCUCAGGUGCCUGAAGAUUCACUUGGAGACCCUCUCAAUAACACAUUUGCAGCUUUCACACAUAGACUGGAACCAUUUGUCCCAGUGCCCAAGCAUCAGUCAGCUAAAACGCCUGUGUCUGAGUGGUGUCAGGUUGACUGAAUUUAGACCUGAGCCCCUCCAAGUUCUUCUGGAGAAAGUUGCAGGUACCCUGACCACGCUGUACUUGGAAUCCUGUGGGAUCACUGACUUCCACCUCAGAGCCAUCAUUCCUGCCCUGAGCCUCUGCUCUCAGCUCAGCACCUUAAGCUGCAUACAGAACUCCAUCUCUGUGGCCACCUUGGAGAACCUGCUGUACCACACUGCCAGGAUGAGAAAUUUAAGACUGGAGCUGUACCCUAUUCCUCGGGAGGUUCAUAGUUCUAGACUGGGGCAGCUUAGGGAUGCGAUGAGGAGGAUUGUAAAGCCGUUAAACUACCCCAGGACUGCCUGGCUCAGUAUUAAUGAGUAUUAUUGUCCCAGUGGUGUCUGGGAAACCUGUUACCUGGAGUUUAGUGAGUGCUCUAACAGUAUCCCUAUGUAGCUGGACACAUAUAUUCUAUGCUGUCUUUAGGCCACUGGGAACAAAGAGCCCAUGUUUCUGUGUGAUUGGUGAAAAAAGAUGUUGGACAGCUGGAGGGCAGCCUUGGAUGGAAAAAUGUUGACCUGGAAGGUAGAAGUGAUCUUUGGAGACAUGAGUCCUAGACAGGGUCAGAAAUAGGAACCCGGGUCUAGAAGUAAAUUCGUGCAUGGAUGGAUAUAAAGAAGUGUUCAGAAAUAAAGAGAACCACAAUGUAAAGUAUCUGGUUUCCUCCAC